GGAUAAGCAGAUAGCCAAGGAUGACUUGCCGGAAAUAAUAUUCAGGCAAACCUCUACUUAUUUUCCGGCAAGUUGUCAUUGGCUACAUUUCUCUCUCU
rnacentral:pre_miRNA from 1 species